CCUACGGGAGGCAGCAGUGGGGAAUCUUCCGCAAUGGACGAAAGUCUGACGGAGCAACGCCGCGUGAGUGAUGACGGCCUUCGGGUUGUAAAGCUCUGUUAAUCGGGACGAAAGGCCUUCUUGCGAAUAGUGCGAGGAUUUGACGGUACCGGAAUAGAAAGCCACGGCUAACUACGUGCCAGCAGCCGCGGUAAUACGUAGGUGGCAAGCGUUGUCCGGAAUUAUUGGGCGUAAAGCGCGCGCAGGCGGAUUGGUCAGGCUGCCUUAAAAGUUCGGGGCUUAACCCCGUGAUGGGAUGGAAACGGCCAAUCUUGAGUGUCGGAGAGGAAAGUGGAAUUCCUAGUGUAGCGGUGAUAUGCGUAGAUAUUAGGAGGAACACCGGUGGCGAAGGCGACUUUCUGGACGAAAACUGACGCUGAGGCGCGAAAGCCAGGGGAGCGAACGGGAUUAGAUACCCUGGUAGUC
rnacentral:rRNA from 1 species